CAGUGAGCUGCAAUUGAAGGCAGUUCAUGGCAUGUUUACAUCUCCUAGUAAACCAUACAUCCAGCUAAAAACAAGAGAUGAAAAUAUAAAGGUGGAUCACCUUUUGCAUUGGUGGUUAGUGGCAACAAACAACAGAAGGAAUUUAGCUAUAUGGUAAU